rnacentral:rRNA from 1 species
GACGAACGCUGGCGGCGUGCCUAACACAUGCAAGUCAAGGCGGUAGCAAUACCGACUGGCGCACGGGUGCGGAACACGUAGGUAAUCUGCCCUUCAGGGGAGAACAACUCAUCGAAAGGUGAGCUAAAUCUCCGUAAUGUUUUACUGUGGCAUCACAGUUUAACCAAACUUUCUGAGGGAUGAGCCUGCGUCUGAUUAGCUAGUUGGUGAGGUAACUGCUCACCAAGGCUACGAUCAGUAGCUGGUCUGAGAGGAUGAUCAGCCACAUUGGGACUGAGACACGGCCCAGACUCCUACGGGAGGCAGCGGUGAGGAAUAUUGCACAAUGGGCGCAAGCCUGAUCCAGCCACGCCGCGUGAGUGAUGAA